rnacentral:rRNA from 1 species
CAGUAGCCGCGGUAAUACGAAGGUCCCGAGCGUUGUUCGGAAUCACUGGGCCUAAAGGGAGCGUAGGCGGCGUGGUAAGUCAGAUGUGAAAUCCCGGGGCUCAACCCCGGAACUGCAUCCGAUACUGCCAUGCUAGAGAAUUGGAGAGGUAGCUGGAAUUCUUGGUGUAGCAGUGAAAUGCGUGGAGAUCAAGAGGAACACUCGUGGCGAAAGCGAGCUACUGGACAAUAACUGACGCUGAGGCUCGAAGGCCAGGGUAGCGAAAGGGAUUAGAUACCCCAGUAGUCCCUGUCUCUUAUAC